UUUUGAUGAUGUCAGUUGGAUCUAAAUGGAAAGAGUGGAAGCAUGAAGCAAAAAGUAAUGGUUGUGACCCGUAUAAUACUGAUAUUGAGCGCUUAGCUCAUCGUCCAAAGAGUGUUGCAGAAGAUCAGUGGCGUUCAUUAGUUCAUUAUUGGAGUUCAAAAGAAGCAAAGGAAAAGAGCGAGAGAAACAAAGAAAGUCGAAAAAAGUUGACUAUGCCACACACAUCAGGAAGAAAAAGUCUUGCUCAAAUUAUAGAUGAUAUGACAAAAGAGAAUACUGGUGUAAAGCCAACUCGUAUUGAGGUGUGGAAAAAAAACUCACACUAGAGAGAAUAAACAACCAGUAAAUGACAUAGCCGGUGAAGUUAUGAAACAAAUGGAUGAUCUUGCUGAGGUGUAUCCCGAGUUAAAUGUCCCUGGAAGUGCUCGCAAUGAUAUAUAUUCACAAGUAAUGGGACCAGACACUCAUGGGAUUGUUCGAACUCUAGGAAAAGGAGCAGCUCCAAGUUUAGUUUAUGGCCCAGUAUAUAAACGAUCACAGUUGGAGCAACGAGAUUUUGAUGCAAGGGUUGAGAUAGAAGUUCAAAAAGCUAACGUAGCAAUCCAAAUUGAUAUGGAUAAAAAGUUGGCUGAAGCAAAACAAAAUAUGGAAGCAAAAUGGAUGAAAGAAUGGAUGAAAAGGUGAAGGAAAAAGUGAAGGCUGAGAUGCAAGCAUACGUACAGAGUAUCGGUUUUAUGAAUGGCUCAAACAGUAAAUCAAUCAGUUAUGAAGAGCUUUCCCAUAACUCAGUUGAAGACCGCCAACAAUCAUUAUCUCCUGUAUGAGUUGUUCCAACAAAAAAGGUUAACUUAAUCAAGAACACCACAAAUAAUGGAGGUGACACACAAAAAAAGAAGUGG